rnacentral:rRNA from 1 species
AGAAUCAACGCUGGCGGCGUGCCUCAGACAUGCAAGUCGAACGCGAAAGUUUCCUUCGGGAGGCGAGUAGAGUGGCGCACGGGUGAGUAACACGUAGGUAAUCUACCUUUGGAUGGGGAAUAACAACCGGAAACGGUUGCUAAUACCGCAUAAUGCAGCGGCACCUAAUGGUGACAGUUGUUAAAGCGGGGGAUCGAAAGACCUCGCGUCUGAAGAGGAGCCUGCGGCGGAUUAGCUAGUUGGUAAGGUAAUGGCUUACCAAGGCUACGAUCC